CGGACGGGUGAGUAAUGUCUGGGAAACUGCCCGAUGAGGGGGAGUAACUACUGGAAACGGUAGCUAAUACCGCAUAACGUCGCAAGACCAAAGAGGGGGACCUUAGGGCCUCUUGCCAUCGGAUGUGCCCAGAUGGGAUUAGCUAGUAGGUGGGGUAACGGCUCACCUAGGCGACGAUCCCUAGCUGGUCUGAGAGGAUGACCAGCCACACUGGAACUGAGACACGGUCCAG
rnacentral:rRNA from 1 species